CUCCUCAAUCUUGGCAGACACAGCAUGAGCUCUAGUGGAUAGUGUGAGCAGGAGUAGGCGGGUUUCCCCAGACCUUGAUCCACCAUGCAUGAUGUACAGUAUCUCAUAAAAUGGUCCGUUUGGCCUGCUCUUGGUGGCCCGGGGGCACUGAAUAAAGCACAGCAGAAAGAGGAGGCCGGAGCAGAACCGCAGGGCGCCAUUGUUGCUCUGCUCACACUGCAAGCUAAGCGGGAGAUGGCAGGACUGCAGGGGUCAAAUAAAACCGCACAAACACUCCAGAGCUGCUGUGGUCGUGGACUAAAAGUGGACUUUUUCUCUUUUUCAGGCUGAU
ensembl:lncRNA